GGAACAAAGACGUGCAGUCAUUGGUGCCAAAUGGAACUGAAGCAUGGGUUGACGCGAUUGGACAUGUGCACAAUUACUGGAGAACUAGUUUUGGAUACUGGGAUGAUUUUCCGCAGACAUUUGAUUCAGAAUACGAGUUGUGUGGUGUUGCAGAUUUGCGGAGAUUGGGAAAAUGGAGGUUACUUCCCUGUGAAACAAAGCUACCAUUUGCUUGCUACAGUAACCUGCAAAGCAAUGAUGUAGAAAAGGAAGUUAAACAAAAAGUAAUGACCCUGAAGUUGAAAAUAGAUGACGCCUCUCUGAAUGUGAGUGACUCAGCUGUGAAAGCAGACCUUUUAAAAAAGCUGCAGGACAAACUGAAUGAGACUGGAGUGAGUGGAGUCACUCUGAAGUGGAGAGAGCAGCCUGAUGGAGAAGUCUUCCACAAAGAGGGGGGAAAUUCCCAGAAGGAAGAAAAAAAAACUGAACUGUGAAAUUGAAAUGCUAUCUUUACAUCUGCUUAUCUUCAACACAUAGUGGUUGUUUAGUGUUUCUGAAAUGUAUUUCUAAAUUGUCAUUUAGUACAGCUUUAGUGUUUGCAGUUAUUAAUGAUACUCCCAGAUAUCUAAAACGUGUCAUCUCUUAGUGACUUAAGUGACUUCAUUUGCACAAUUUCCACUUUUGUUUGAUUGCACUAUAAUUUACUAAUAUUUUACGCAAAUAUUAUGCAUGCAAACAUUCACUAUUCAGCAAGUUCAACCAGUCAAUCAAAGAAAACGUGCUUAGCAAAGAACGUGAAGGUUUUUGAUGGGAGGCAAAACAUAGACACUGGGUUUUCUGUAUCCCUCUCAACAUUUGAUAUUUAAUAUUAUUAUACAGAUAUGAGUUUUAAGCUUUAAGCUUCUUUGACUAUUUUUUGUUUCAUAUGUUAAGCAACCUUUCACAUAUUGCUUUUUUCUGUCUUUUCUGGUAAAGAUAUGUUCUAUUUAUCUGAAUUGUAAAAGAAUCAAAAGGAAGAAUUCGUGUAUGUUUGUGUGCGGGUAGUCUGAUGUUAAGUUUGAAUGCGAUGGUAAGUCCCCUGCUUAUUAUGUUUAGUUCCUACUUCCUUUUGCAGUUAACCACCAAGAAUAAAUAUAAAACCUGAA